rnacentral:rRNA from 1 species
UACGGGGGGGGCAAGCGUUGUUCGGAAUUACUGGGCGUAAAGGGCUCGUAGGCGGCCAACUGAGUCGGAUGUGAAAUCCCCAGGCUCAACUUGGGAACUGCAUCCGAUACUGGAUGGCUUGAAUUCGGGAGAGGGAUGCAGAAUUCCAGGUGUAGCGGUGAAAUGCGUAGAUAUCUGGAGGAAUACCGGUGGCGAAGGCGGCAUCCUGGACCGACAUUGACGCUGAGGAGCGAAAGCUAGGGGAGCAAACGGG